rnacentral:misc_RNA from 1 species
GAUGAAGAACGUAGUGAAAUGCGAUAAGUAAUGUGAAUUGCAGAAUUCAGUGAAUCAUCGAAUCUUUGAACGCACAUUGCGCCCCUUGGUAUUCCAUGGGGCAUGCCUGUUCGAGCGUCAUUUGUACCUUCAAGCUUUGCUUGGUGUUGGGUGUUUGUCUCGCCUCCGCGUGUAGACUCGCCUCAAAACAAUUGGCAGCCGGCGUAUUGAUUUCGGAGCGCAGUACAUCUCGCGCUUUGCACUCACAACGACGACGUCCAAAAGUACAUUUUUACACUCUUGACCUCGGAUCAGGUAGGGAUACCCGCUGAACUUAAGCAUAUCAAUAAGCGGAGGA